rnacentral:rRNA from 1 species
CCUACGGGUGGCAGCAGUGGGGAAUAUUGCACAAUGGGGGAAACCCUGAUGCAGCGACGCCGCGUGAGUGAAGAAGGAAUUCGUUAUGUAAAGCUCUAUCAGCAGGGAAGAAAAUGACGGUACCUGAGUAAGAAGCCGUGGCUAACUACGUGCCAGCAGCCGUGGUACUACGGAGGGGGCCAGCGUAAUCCGGAUUUACCGGGUGUAAAGGGAGCGUAGACGGCAGUGCAAGUCUGGAGUGAAAGGCGGGGGUUCAACCCCCGGACUGCUCUGGAAACUGUACGGCUGGAGUGCAGGAGAGGUAAGUGGAAUUCCUAGUGUAGCGGUGAAAUGCGUAGAUAUUGGGAAGAACACCAGUGGCGAAGGCGGCUUACUGGACUGUAACUGACGUUGAGGCUCGAAAGCGUGGGGAGCGAACAGGAUUAGAUACCCCUGUAGUC